rnacentral:rRNA from 1 species
GAUGAACGCUGGCGACGUGGAUAAGGCAUGCAAGUCGAACGGAUACUAUAGCAAUAUAGUAUUAGUGGCGAACGAGGUAGUAAUAGGUAGGUACGCACCCUCUAGUCAAGAAUAACUGAUCGAAAGAUCAGCUAAUACUUGAUAGUCCCUUCGGGGUAAAGUUUUAACGCUAGAGGAGCGGCCUGCUCGGUAUCAGCUAGUUGGUAGUGUAAAAGACUACCAAGGCUAUGACACCUAGGGGAGCUGAGAGGCUGACCCCCACCGAUGGAACUGAGACACGGUCCAUACACCUACGGGUGGCUGCAGUCGAGAAUCUUCCACAAUGGGCGAAAGCCUGAUGGAGCGACGUCGCGUGAUUGAUGAAGUCUUUCGGGAUGUAAAAAUCUUUUAUGAGGGAGAAAGUUAUUGAUAGUACCUCAUGAAUAAGGGGUUGCUAAACUCGUG